UACAGGGAUCGAUUGGACCACCUGGAUCAGAUGGAGAUAGAUGACCUCAGGGUCCCCAGGGUUUACAGGGAAGGCCUGGUGCACCAGGAAUCCAAGGUCCCGUUGGAAAAAGUGGGGACCCAGGGAGCUUGGAUCUCACUGGCAAACCUGGAAAGCCUGGAAUCAGAGGUGUCAAAGGCAGAGAGGGUUCAGAGGGGCUUCACGGCAGUCCUGGAGACAAGGGGCUGAGUGGUGCUCCAGGGCAGAAGGCAGAUCCUGGAUCCCCUGGUGAAAAAGGUCAGACAGGUCUGAGAGCUUACUCGGGGUUGGUAGGAAGGUACGGUCCUGGAUGGAACAUGGGAAAAUCUGGUGGAAAAGGCGACAAAGGUCUACGUGGACUUGUUUUGGGGCGCUGCAGGAACAAAUGGGCCGCCAGGUCCAAAUGGUGCUAUUGGGUUACCGGGUUUGCCAGGGAAAAAAUGAUUUGUUGGACAAAGUGGAAAAUUUGGACCAAAAGGAGUGAGAACCUGGAGUUAAAGGGAAUCCAGGCAGCCCUGGGAAGAUUGGAUCAAUGGGCGUUUCAGGCCCAAGUAAGAAGAAAGGAGAGCCUGGAACAAGAGGCAGAAUGGGGUCAUUGGGUCAGCCAGGAGCUGUGGGUCCUCGCGGACUAA
ensembl:lncRNA